GCAGACUCACUCUGUGCUUGGCUGCACUCUUCAGUCAUGGCGCUUUUUAGGUCUGCUAGAGUAUUGAUCCAGGAGGUUGUAAACACUUACCUACCUGUGUAAGUCUGUUUCAUUGGUUCUUGGAACAUCGUU
rnacentral:snoRNA from 1 species